CAAUAAAGGAAGAAAAAAGAACUACAAGUGAUAGCUGUCAAAUACAUCUAAAAACAUUUUAUUUUUCCAGUUCAGACCAGUGACAAUUUCAAGAGGUACCAGAAAUGAACACUGCCCCAGUUUCUCACCGAAGCUUCCCUUUCAGAAUCAUCAAACAAAAUGACGUUAGACAGCACUAGGAAAGAAUGGCACAUACCCUGAAGAAAAGAAAAGAGAACAUCAGUUGCUGCAAGAAGUUACCAGAAGUUACAUAACACAGUUUAUCGAUAGAUUACGAAAUGAAACAUUUACUGAGACCCAAAAAGGAAGCCAAAUUAAGGGUAUGGCCGCCACCUAGUGGAAGCACUGGGGUACGGAAAUCUUACUUUUUUACAUAAAGACAGGUGAUCAAUA